rnacentral:rRNA from 1 species
AGAACGAACGCUGGCGGCAUGCCUAAUACAUGCAAGUCGAACGAACACUUCGGUGUUAGUGGCGCACGGGUGCGUAACGCGUGGGAAUCUGCCCUUGGGUUCGGAAUAACAGUUGGAAACGACUGCUAAUACCGGAUGAUGACGAAAGUCCAAAGAUUUAUCGCCCAGGGAUGAGCCCGCGUAGGAUUAGCUAGUUGGUGAGGUAAAGGCUCACCAAGGCGACGAUCCUUAGCUGGUCUGAGAGGAUGAUCAGCCACACUGGGACUGAGACACGGCCCAGACUCCUACGGGAGGCAGCAGUAGGGAAUAUUGGACAAUGGGCGCAAGCCUGAUCCAGCAAUGCCGCGUGAGUGAUGAAGGCCUUAGGGUUGUAAAGCUUCUUUACCCGAGAUGAUAAUGACAGUAUCGGAGAAUAAGCCCCGGACUAACUCCGUGCCAGCAGCCGAC